UACGUAGGGGGCUAGCGUUGUCCGGAAUCAUUGGGCGUAAAGAGCGCGUAGGCGGCCAGAUAAGUCCGGUGUGAAAGUCACAGGCUCAACCUGUGAAUGCCGCUGGAAACUGUCUGGCUAGAGUCCGGAAGGGCGAAGUGGAAGUUCCUGGUGUAGCGGUGAAAUGCGCAGAUAUCGAGAGGAACACCUGCGGCGAAGGCGGGUCUCUGGGCAACCAACUGACGCUGAGGAGCGAAAGCGUGGGGAGCGAACAGG
rnacentral:rRNA from 1 species